GACUCCGGUUCUAUUUUGUGGGUUUUCGGAACCAGGGCCAUGAUUAAGAGGGACGGCCGGGGGCAUUCGUAUUGCGCCGCUAGAGGUGAAAUUCUUGGACCGGAGCAAGACGGACGAAAGCGAAAGCAUUUGCCAAGAAUGUUUUCAUUAAUCAAGAACGAAAGUCGGAGGUUCGAAGACGAUCAGAUACCGUCGUAGUUCCAACCGUAAACCAUGCCGACCUGCGAUCCGGCGGCGUUAUUCCCAUGACCCGCCGGGCAGCGUGCGGGAAACCACGAGUCUUU
rnacentral:rRNA from 1 species